AGCCAUGCCGCUGGAGCCUGCCGUUAUCAGGGAGGCAGGACUCCUGGAUCUUCAGCUACAAGAGAAAGGGCGCCAUCUGGAAAUGAGGCAAAAACGUCGGGGGUCUGGAAGUUCAAGUGGAGGGUCUUCCCACAGCGCACAGAAACACUGGCGGAAGCUCCUUUUAUAGGCAUCCUCCACUGCACUCUCCAGGUUUUGGGGUGAUGAGGUACCAGCAGCCCAGAAUCCUGUAUUCUCAAUGCAUGUUCAGUUCUGAGACAGAUGGAAAAGCGGAGACUUUACGAGGAUUCAAGAAAAACAACCCCAUGAAAAUUCCAGCCACUCAGAGUUCUCAAGCGGCCAUUUUAAAUGUAUCUUGUCCAUGCAGCCAGGUACCCAGGGACUGCUGUCCAUCAGCACAAAUGUGGCUUCUCCUCUUAAUUAACUAUGUACAACCCUGUGAUCGACAGGAUGUCCUGCACUGGGGUUAUCGCACACAACUCUGAGACAAUUCUUCAGCAUGAGGGCAGCCUCAACCUGGUCACUCAUUGUCUUGGAGACAGGGUGCCAAGGGACCCAUAUCUUUAGGGACAUCGUUAGGAGAAGGGGAACUAUGCCAUGAGAUGGCUGUGAUAUGGAGCCCGUGGUCCUAUGCUUCCUUCUUGAGAAGCUGUGGAAACAGCUGUAAGAACACUGAGGUCCCUACCUUCCCUGCGUCUGCCCUCUGAUGUCAUACAUAGAUGGUUUAGCUGCAGGAAAGCGAUACUGUUUUCAAUUGUGUACAUACACAAAAAGUGUAUCUGCUCACACUGGAAUGCCUACAGAAGGGCAGACAGAGCAAUCCAAGAAGGACGUGGGAAAUGCUCAGCUAAAUUACUGGCUGUUCUCCCAAUCACACCCACCAUGGUUCCAGUGACCUGUUUCCUUUCUUCUCCACUUGUCACCAGAAAAAUAUUGACUGUGUACAAAUUUGUGCUCAGCAUGAAGAUUUCCUGAAGGCCCAAAGUGUCACUUGUGGGCAAAACUGAAAUGGUUGACUUAUGCUGAUGACUUCUAAGACUUGAUUGAUUUUUAAAAGAAUUGA
rnacentral:sRNA from 1 species